rnacentral:lncRNA from 1 species
UCCCCUUUCAGCUUGUGUACAGACUGCUGCCACACAGGCUGGCUAGGUCGCUCUAUAAGUAAGGCUUUUCCCUAUUAGAUACCCUUAUAUUUCUACUUGGCUCUGUAUUGGUAAUUUCCCACUGUAUAUGGUUAUAGUUUUCUUCAGUUAUUAUAAAAGAUAAGUUAUCCUUCUUUUUAUUUAGACAUAAAAAAGGAGAUGAUGGGGAAUGAACUUCUUUGUAUGUUUAUCUUAUUGAUUAUUGAAUAAAAUACUGUUUGGCCAAUGGCAGCAAGUUAGAUGGGACUAGGAGUCAAAGAGGAUUCUGGGAAAUGUAGUAGAGAAGUGGUGAUCCAGGCAGGAAGUGACAUAGCAAGAAGACUCAUAUUAAGCGAAGGAAAAAUAGGAAGCGUCCCCUUUUCCCCUUGCUCCUCCAGCAGCAGGAUGUGAUUUACCACCAAGGAGGGACGCCAAUAAGGCAUCCGAUAAGGCCUUCGCCCUCCUCUCAGUCCUCCCUCUCCACUAUCAUCUCUAGCUCCUUCCUGGAAAGCCAGAGUCUUCAUUUGUUGUUGGUUGUCCAAGAAGGAGGAAGAGAACAUGGAGGGGAAUCAAAGAUUCUGUCCCAGAGGAAGCUGGGAAGAUACAAAGGAAACUUCAGUAAGACAAGAUGAAUAAAUCCCCGACUCCUUAGCAAGGCAUCCAAAGCUGACUCUGGGGAUGAUCAAAAUGCUCUGGAAUUGUGGAGUCAUGCUGGUGGUACAACAUUGUAAGUACACUAAAAGCCACUGAAUUGCAGCUUUAAAACAGUGAAUUUUAUUAUGUGAAAGCUUAUAUUAUGUGAAUUGUAGCUCCACAUUUGGAAUGCGGGCAUGAGGAGGGGCUAGAGAAUUUCUUCUCUCAUCUCCCAUUUUGCACCAGGCCUCUUUGUACCAGGUAGAUGCUGUAUUUUUUUGUUGUUGUUAGAAAAUCUCUUGUCCAUUGAUUCACUUCUUUCUAGGCACUGGUAACAUCAUUUCUUCCCUUUGUUUCUUGGUCUACAAUAGACUUGGUUUCCACUGUUGCUUUCAUCUACCUCAAAGUCACUGUUUCCUUUACCUUUUGACACCACUAGAAACAGUCCCCUCAUUCAAAUUGUCCACCCUCCGGGUAAGCUCUGUUUGUUGGCAGUCAUCCAACUGCUGGUGAACUUACAGUCAUGUUCUUUGGAACUCUGAUGCUUCGGAUGAGCAUCUGUGUGUCAGUAGGAAUGUGACAAUAGGAUUCUCAAGUAUUGGUGUUUCACAUUCUUAAUUCACUGUCAUCCGUGUCUUGACUCUUGGGAAAGACCAUACCCCACAGUAACUUCAGAUGUUAAUUACCCAUGAUUACUCAAUGUGGGGUUUUCUAAUUUUUCUUGGAGUUAUUUAUGUUUGUAAGUGUUUUUUUCUGCAUCUGUGUAUGUGCACCACGUGUGUGCCUGGUGCUAUGGAACUAGAAGAAGGCAGUUGAUCCCCUGCAGCUGGAGUUAAUAGAUGGUCAUGAGCUUCCAUGUGGGUGGUGGGAACCAAACGCCAGUGUAAGUGCUCUUAACCACUAAGCCAACUAUCCAGCUCCUUCAACUUAAGAUUCUUCUCUCUAAAUGGAUUUCUAUGCCCUGGGUAAACCUUUGAAACAAUGUGAUUAAGGCUUCCUAGUGAAUGUCUGAUACAUAGCUCAGUGCCAACAUUUUCCUCUACUUUACUCAAUGGCCCCGUAAUCCAUCUAUUCGGUUAAAUUAGACUCCUCAACGUUCUCUUAAAUUUACUCUCUUACAGUCCAAAAGGACUUCAAAUCCUUCUUAGACUUCAGGAAAAUUCUCAAGGCAUAGCUCUUCCUAUCUCAUUCAUACUUUGAAAAAUUCUUUCUAGUACUGGUUUCUUCUUGGCCCAGACCGAGUCUGUGUUUCAUCCAUCUUUUGAAGUUCUUUAUCAUAUUGCCCCUCUCUCCAAAACUUUCUUCACUUUUUCUCUGUCUCCAUAAUAAAUUCUGGACCUGCCAAAGGCA